GUCCACGCCGUAACGAUGGAUGCUAGCCGUCGGCCAGCUUGCUGGUCGGUGGCGCAGCUAACGCUUAAGCAUCCCGCCUGGGAGUACGGCCGCAAGGUUAAACUCAAAGGAAUUGACGGGGCCCGCACAAGCGGUGGAGCAUGUGGUUUAAUUCGACGCAACGCGAAGAACCUUACCAGCCCUUGACAUGUACCGGAAUGCCCGCAGAGACGUGGGCAGCCGCAAGGUCGGUACACAGGUGUUGCAUGGCUGUCGU
rnacentral:rRNA from 1 species